AGAGUUUGAUCCUGGCUCAGAACGAACGCUGGCGGCGUGGAUAAGACAUGCAAGUCGGACGAGAUUUUUCGUUGUAGCAAUACGAUGGAAAAUUUAGUGGCGAACGGGUGCUUAACACGUGGGCAACCUGCCAGGAAGUGGGGGACAGCUCGCCGAAAGGCGGAUUAAUACCGCAUGUGAUUAGAGAGGACAUCCUUUCGAAAUUAAAGUCGGGGCAACCUGACGCUUCUUGUGGGGCCCGCGGCCUAUCAGCUAGUUGGUGAGGUAACGGCUCACCAAGGCUUUGACGGGUAGCUGGUCUGAGAGGACGACCAGCCACACUGGGACUGAGACACGGCCCAGACACCUACGGGUGGCAGCAGUCGAGAAUUUUUGACAAUGGGGGAAACCCUGAUCGAGCGACGCCGCGUGGAGGAUGAAGGUCUUCGGAUUGUAAACUCCUGUCAUUGGGGAACAAUGCACAGAUAUUAACUGUAUUUGUGUUGAUAGUACCCGAAGAGGAAGAGACGGCUAACUCUGUGCCAGCAGCCGCGGUAAUACAGAGGUCUCAAGCGUUGUUCGGAUUCAUUGGGCGUAAAGGGUGCGUAGGCGGCGCGGUAAGUCGGGUGUGAAAUCUCGGAGCUUAACUUCGAAACUGCAUUCGAUACUGCCGUGCUUGAGGACUGGAGAGGAGACUGGAAUUUACGGUGUAGCGGUGAAAUGCGUAGAUAUCGUAAGGAAGACCAGUGGCGAAGGCGGGUCUCUGGACAGUUCCUGACGCUGAGGCACGAAGGUCAGGGGAGCAAACGGGAUUAGAUACCCUAGUAGUCC
rnacentral:rRNA from 1 species